CCUGAGAAACCCAAAAGUUUGAACGGGGAGAUUCAACGCCAGCAUGUGCAGUAUUCACGUGAGUAGCGAUGUAAGUUAUUUGGUAAGAUUUUUAAUCUUAUCAUUGACUUGCACGUUUUCAUGUUUUUUUAUUGCUGUACAUUGUCGGUGUGCACUUCUCCUCUAGUAAAACGUCCCGACCUGUUAGGUUUCAGCCUAUGACCCGUAUGGUAGCCUUGAAUUUGUCUUUUGACAAAUUUAAGACCUAUGGUGUUCUGGUCUGAAGCUUGACGGUUUGGAAUAAGACAAGUGUUGUGCCGCAGUCAGUGCGUCCAGCCUGUUGCAAGCUUGAUUGAAUCUGUCGUACGUAGACAAUGUUCUAUGUAUGCUAUUUAGUCAGCUGUUUGCGUACAGUGUUCUUGGACUGGCCUAUCAAUUAACCUGUCAGGGACGCUAUUGCUUUGGGUACUUUCAGGACCCGUCUUGAAACACGGACCAAGGAGUCUAACAUGUAUGCGAGUCAUUGGGUAUAUAUUUUUUUCGGAAAAUAUAUAAAACAAACCUAAAGGCGAAAUGAAAGUAAAGUCGGCUUCGUGCUGAUUCAAGGGAAGAUGGGUUAAAUUUAAUCAUUUAUCCUCGCACUCCCGGGGCGUCUCACUCUCAUUGCGAGAAGA
rnacentral:rRNA from 1 species